CCUACGGGAGGCAGCAGUGAGGAAUAUUGGUCAAUGGGUGCGAGUCUGAACCAGCCAUGCCGCGUGCGGGAAGACGGCUCUAUGAGUUGUAAACUUCUUUUGUACGAGAGUAAACGCCGAUACGCGUGUCGUUCUGAGAGUAUCCUACGAAUAAGCAUCGGCUAACUCCGUGCCAGCAGCGGCGGUAAUACGGAGGAUGCAAGCGUUAUCCGUUUUUCUUGGGUUUAAAGGGUGGUUAGGCGGAAGAUCAAGUUAGCGGUAAAAUGCGGGGGCUCAACUUCUACGUGCCUUUGAAACUGGUUGGCUAGAGUGAGUUAGAGGUAGGCGGAAUGUAUGGUGUAGCGGUGAAAUGCUUAGAGAUCAUGCAGAACACCGAUUGCGAAGGCAGCUUACC
rnacentral:rRNA from 1 species